UAUAUAUAUAUAUAUAUAUAUAUAUAUAUGUGUGUGUGUGUGUGUGUGUGUGUGUGUGUGUGUGUGUGUGUGUGUGUGUAAAAUCUUCUUUAUCCUUUAGUGCAUGGAUUAAUGAGGUGAAGUGAUAUUAACAUAUCUAUUUUUGAUAGCGGCAGAUCAUACAUAUCUAUUGAAUCUAGUCAGGUUCAGAAUGAAUGGUAAGCGAAUUCAAUGAAUUGAUCUGUCAAUAUCAAAAUCAGCUUUUCUAAGAGCAUCACCCCCUUUAGUAAACUUACAUCGCACCGGUCAUGACCGCGAACAAAACAUUGAUGACCAUUCCUCCGGUGUAGCCUUUGUUGAUGAUCAGCCUGGAACCGUACCACAUCGCCAGCGCGUAGCUGCAGAACAAGACCAGGAAAACAGUUCCCAUGCCCAGGCCAGAAGCAGUCCCUUCUUGGACAGCAGACAGGUAUGCAGUUCUGAUGAACUUGUUGUACAGAGCAAUAGCUUUCUUCUCACCAUUGAAGGAAGCAACCUUUCAUAUGUGAUAUAAUGGAAUUAGAGAAUAGUAGUUCACAAAAACAACAGGCUAUUUUUGUAUAGGCAUCCUAUUUAUGUGUAUAGAUAUAUAUCCCCGCAAAAUCAAAAGAAUCUUAUAUGCACUUAAAAUUCUAGGGGUUUGUUUGGCACUUCUAUUUCUGCUUUUAUCAUCAACAGUAAAUUCUGAUUGUUCGUUUGGUAAAAAUGUCAAAUAAGAUUAAAUUUUGCUACAAAAAUAGCAAUUGAGUAUAUUUUACUAUAGUGCUUCUCUUAAUAGCACUACUUAAGCAACACUUUAUCAAAUAGCAUUAUACCCUAUAACAGGAUCAAGCAGGCCCUUAGUUUUUAUAAUUUUGCCCUUGUACCUAGAAAAGUGGCCUUUACAAAACUGCAAAAAUAUUUAAUAUAUCUCUGGUUGACCAAAAUGCCCUUGUUAAUUUUCAAAAAUCCCUUCAGAUAUUUUGAGGUUAGAAGGUUAUUUUAGUAAUUUUACGAUAAAUUUGAAAUUUUUGAAUAAUGCUGAGGGUAAAUAAGCAGAAGCCCUUUUUUUUUUUGUUUUUCACAGAAGGAAAGCAAGGUUCUAUGUAAAGUAUGUGGAUUAUUUCUACUCACGGUUCUGAUCGACCCAAUUGUCUGCUCGACAACAUUUCCGGCCUCGCUGUACGUCGCUUGCCCGCGGCUCGUCAUUUUCGAGACGAACCACGACAUGGUCGCGCCGGCGAUGACCACUGGCGGAAUGCUCGACAACAUCACUAGAGAUAGAAGCCAUCCUUUUGUGAAUGCUAUAAUGAAUCCACCCAAGAAUGUUGCAACAAGUUGUAUGAACUUCCCUACCUGAAACCAAAACAAACAAACAAAAGGAAAUAAAAAAAAAAAAAGAAAAGACAUCUACAUUGUAUUAAACAUUUAAUAUGUCUCAUGAAAGGUAGGAAAAGUAACACAAACUCUUAUUUCCAAAGUAUAGUGAAGUGAUUGAUUGGAGAAAAGUGGUUACAAUGCAUUUUACAUACUUUUGUGGAGUGUUACAACUUUUUAUAUAUAACCCUCUUUGACCAUAAGAGCACAAUAUGUAAUUAUAUGAUCAAUUUAAAUAAUCUUUUAAUAUGAACCAAUGUGUCUAACAGAUGCCAAACCUAGUUUCAAAAAAGUAGAUAAUUUAUCCAACCAUCACCCGUUUUGAUCCGACUAUCCAGCCUUUAAAUAUUAAUUUUUGCUACCUAAUCUUCUAAUUUAUAUGAUUUGAGUCAAUUAAUAACUCUUUAACUUCAAAAUUUGUAUGUAUCGUUUAUUCUUACAGGUCUGAUUUUAACAUAUUUUAUGCAAUUCAUGCGACUAUAAAUUCACUAAAGUAAGCAGUCAGCGUAAAAAUUUGCAUGGGAAGGGUUACAAAUAACAUAAACAAAUAGAAAAAUUGGUUACGAAAAUCAAAAUUUCAAAGACUAGGUAAGUUUUAUACAUUUUCACCUGAAAAAAACUUCCUUAAUUUCUUAUGUAUUGAAGUUGCAUAAAAAAGACUAAAGACAUGCAUGUAAUUGUUAAGGGAAAUGCUGCUCUUUUUGUUCUCUUUGUUGUGUAGCUAGGAGCAAGUCUUUGAAGUUUUUCGCACCUUUUCGCCGAUGGCAUCUUGAAUGAGUAUUGUGUCGCCGGACAUCCUCUCGACCACCUGCCCGGUCGUCAUCUCCUUGUCGAAGAACGCGAUGUCCUGCCUCAGUAUCGCCUUCAGGUACAGCCCUCGAAUCCGCGCCGCCUGUCUUUCUCCGGUGACCAUCCAACAUGCCACCUCUGAAACCAGUCAGUCAGUCAGAUUAUGAUUCAGUUAUCUAGACUUCUGAAACUGAGUUGGUACAGUUUUAUAACUGAUGAUUCUAGUGUGUUUAUAAGAUAACAAAUCUGAUGCAUAUAUGAUUGUGAUCUCAUUGAAGGAGAUGUUGAAAGUUAGAUGAUUAAAAUGUGCAUCAUUUUGCAUGAACCACAGGAAGUGCAUUUGUAAAAAUAAUUCAAUUUUUUGUCCCAUGAUAAUACGCUCCGAAGACCAAUAAUAAGUGAAAAUAUAAUAUAUGUUAAAUAUGUCUCGAAUUCUAGUACCAUAAGGUUUUCUAACCCUAUUCUAUUUUGAUUAUCCCAUUAAGUUAAGUUUAGAUUAUACCUAAUCUAAUUAAAAUAUUCCUAGUCUUAGUGGAUUUGUGUUCCUAAUCGUUUUAGGAUUUAUUCCAUUGAUUUGGUGCGGAAGAUGAGAGAGGGAAAAUUGAUGUAUUUUUGAGAUUAGGGUUUUGUGAGAGAGGCAUAUUUUGUAUACCACUUUGAUUAUAAUGAAGAUCUCAGCUCCGUCUUCACCCGUGAACGUAGGCCGGUGGCGGAACCACGUAAAUAUUAUGCGCUUUAUUUUUCUUCUCGUUCUCGAUUCUCUUUUGGUAAAUUUGCACCCGACGAACUAGAUCUUCUCGGUUUUAGCUCUAACGGUCCACAAUAGACCUAAUGGCAAGAGGGCCAACAAUAGACCUAACGUUCAGAUGGAUUGAGUCAGAUCGAAGCUCGUAAGCAUUGUGGUUGAGUCCUUAAGUUCGAUGAGUGUAUUAUUUCUAUUAGCACGUACUUUUAGAAUAGCUGGUUAGCGCUUACGAUCUAUAUUCAGCAGAUAUAUUUGAUCAUAAUCUCCAGAUAAUGUAUAUGAUCAUGAUCUCAUUGAAAGAAAUAUUCAGAAUUAGAUGAUUAAAAUGUGCAUCAUUUUGCUUGAACUACAGUGCGCGCAUUUAUAGAAAGAAACAAUAACAAUUGAGAAGAUGUUGUACCUUAAAACUGCGUUAAAAAUGCUAGAAUUGAACGAUAUCGCGAGUUCAUCGAUUAGUUAAAAGAAAAAAAAACAAACAAAUGAAGCACGGUUUAACGAAGGGAUUGAUUGAUUGAUACUUACGGAAGAACGAAGCAACCAUCGAUCCGAUCGCUAAAUACACAAAAUUUAGCACCACCUGAAAUAAGAUAAUGAGAUUAGUUUCUCAUUUACCAAAAUCAUUGAUAAAACUAAUAACUGCAACAAUCCUACAAAUCUAAGUAAAAAUACGCGGCGAUUAACAAAAGUGUAGCUUGCAAUUCACAAGCAUAUACCAAAUAAUGAAAAUAACACCACAAAAGAAUGAAUAUAAUAAUUCAGCAAACAAAACUUUCCUCCGAAAUUUAUUAAUUUCUUGAUUUGAAUAUGUAACGACCUGGCUCGCAAACAAUAAUAACUCAAUGGACCCAAACCAUCAAUCCAAAAUAUUAAAUUGUCCAUGGUCUCUUAUAUAUCCAAUUAUAACUCUAUUUCCAUCCGAUGCGGGACUAUUAGCGUGUCAUAGAUUAACAGUAAAAAUAUCACAAUUUCAAAUUCAAAAAACAAAAAGCAUAGUUAUUCUAAAUUUUACUAUUCGAGAGAAUGGAUCUCUUUAGCUUAUUUAAUUCAAAAUUUUGAGCUGUUUUUUAAACCCUGAUAUGGCUUGUUCACACAAAACCCAACCAAUGCCUUACUUUAUUUAUUUAUUUUUGUUGGGGUUGUGAUAAUAUCUACUAAUUAAUAAAGUAAUUAUUAUAUAAUAACAGCUCAUCUUGUUUGGAUGGAUCUAAAUCCCAUUUAUACCCAACCAAAGUCAAAGCAAAUAAACACCACAAUUUAGAGGUCCCUCGAUCCAAUUAAACAAAACAAAAAAAAAAAGGGCUCCAUGUUUCCUACUUAACAUAAUGUUGUUGAUACAAUGUACUUUUUUAUAUUCCAUGUUUCCUACUUAAGACAAUGUUCACAUUAAUUAUUAAUCACAUCUAACACCCCCUUGGUUUAGCACAAUUUUACUUUACCACAAUGCGGUUCAAAAAAUUACACUUAACUAUUCUAUGAUCUUUUUUUUGUUUUACCAUAAAAUCCUACCAUUAAACGUAGCUGUAAAUAAAAUAAUACUUUUUGCAAAUAAUAUGAUGGUAAUAUAUAAAUUAUAGGAUGGUUAAUGCUAUUUCGUACCGCUAUGUGGUUUUUUUUUUUUUUUUUUUUUUUUUUUUUUUUUUUUUUUUUUGAGGAAACAGGAAUAUACCCUAUUUGUAUAGAGAAUUUUAUUUUUAUUUUUGAAAAAAGAAUUCAAUUUACUACUAUGUUUCAUAGUAGGUACUUUAGACGAAACAACAAUAAAACUAUGGAGAGGUUAAGUGUAACUUCUUAAACCACGAGAUGAUAAGAUAAAAAUGCACUAAACCACAUAUGGGCAAAUUAAAGUGUACUUUAAAAAAAAAAAACUAAAGAAACACAAAAAAAAAGAGAGAAAAACCUUCAUAUUGAUCACAAAUUACUCAUACGAUGCAUAAACCUUAGUGCAACUAAGGCUCCGAAAAUAGCUUGAUUGUUUCCAUGCGUAACAUCACGUUCUGUAUAUAAGAAUAAGUCGGUUAUGAUAUAUUUUCUACUAUCUCGUGGAAAAAUAUAAAAAUAUAUUCCUAAUUUUAGAAACAAGUUAUACUCUGCCUCUCACCUAACCUGCUCAUUAAGAUCCUUCAUUGUCUUAUUCUUUUACUUGGAGUGCUUAAACACCAAUUUUUUUUUAAUUUUUUUAUUUUUUUAAAGGUUGUUGUUACCUAAACAUGUGUGAUUCUAUGGAGACUUGUAUUGUUGUGCUUCUCAUAUAAUUUUUGUCCAGUUGUAUAUGGUUGUGUUCAGUGUCUCUUUCUCAACAAGCCAACUAAUUAACUUGUCCUUAUAUCACUUUCAAAUUCAAUAAUUUUAAUUAUUUUUAGCAUAAAUUAAAUUAAAAUAACUAAUAUUUACUAGCUAAGAGCCUGGCUUGUGUGCUUUCAGAAGCACGGCGGACUCCGUACUAUCAAAUCAUUUUUUGAUACUGGGAAUUCAAAAUCGACAUUCGGCUCACUAUCUAGAAAAUAAAUUAUGUGAAUUUUAGAUACUAUUUACUUAGUGAUUGAAAAUGCUCAAAAUCAAUAGCUGAAAAUAAAAAUCUCAUAAAAAGUGAUGAUACGACACCAAAAUUUUGGAUCAAAGAUAUUAAUAUUAUUUUAUAUAGUAUAAAAAGCUUUUAUCAAAUUUUUAAGUUAUUUGGAUAUUUCUAUACUAUUAAAUUCGCAAACUGCUCAUUAUGACCAUUAAGAUUGUUACUUUUGGAUCGGUUUGAUCAUUAGGUAUAAAUGAUAAAGAAAAAUUGCGAAAUUUUUUUUUUAGAUACUUGAAAUACUCUAAAUCAAGUUUAAUAGAACUAAUCGUUGAUUCGAAAGUCUCGGCAUAAAAAAUAACUUAAUAAUAUGAAGGUCGCUGUAUUUCUAAAAGCACACAAGUCUACCUAAAUUGUUAAUAGUGUUAUGAAAAAUGAUAAUAUUUUUUACUUAAACCAACAAAAAUAUCUCAAAAUUUUUUUUUAAAAAAAUAAAAGUUACAUAGUAUCCAGCACCAACAUUCCUCUACAAUAUGCGCACGAGACUAUCCAGCCGCUUACAAAUCAUGGACCUAGAAAAAAAUAGCGAGUAGUCGAGGGGGCUCUCUGUAAAUUUAAACCCCUCAAUUUAAAUUCUAAAAAAAAAGAGCAAAUUCUAUUAUAGAUUUAUAGGCACGUUCUCACCUGCAUGCGUCGUGAUGACGCAUUGGAUGAUGUUAAAUUGUUAUCUAAUUGCAAAUUAAAUAGUAAUAAUAAUAAAGUUAAGGGACCUGUUUCUAAAUUGCGAAUAUUCAGGGGGUUCUCCAUAAAUUUCACCCCCCCAAUAUAAACUGGCGUCGUUACAUCUUACAUACAUUAUUUGUAAAAAAAAAAGAAAAGAAAAAAAGUAAAAUACUCUGCAGUAAAUUUUUUUAAAAAAGUAUGGUGUAAUGAAAUUAAGCCACUUAAAUUUAAAAAUAAAAAUAAAAAAAUGUAUGAAGGGCCCCCCAACUAUCGCCAAGUCUGAAAUGGGACCCUCAACUUUAGUUUUUUUUUUUCUUUUUAAUUUGAUACCAUUUUGUUCCACUCUCCUCUCUGAAACAAACUUGUUCCCAUAUAUUUAAGUCUAAUUUUGAUCAUUGUAUUAACUUCUUAAUUAAUCUAAUUAAUAUAUUUAAGUCUUUAUUUAUUAUUUAAAUAGUUAAAUAAUUAAAUAAUUAACGUGUUUAUCUAAUAACUAGUAUUUAUAUCAGCCAACUAAUUAAUAUUUUGACUAAUCAAAUUAAUUUCUUAAUUAAUCAUCUAAAUAAUUAAAUAAUUUACUAAUAAUUAAACAAAUUAAUAUAUAUAUAUAUAUAAUUAAUUAAUAUAUCUUUUAUUAUUAUUUAUUAAAUUAUUUUUCAUUAAUAUUUUGAUACUAAUUAAUUAAAUAAAAUAUUUUUAAUUUAAAAUUAUAAUUACUCUUAUUUCGGUUUAUUCUAAUCUAAUCAUUCAAACAUUAUUAUUUAUAUUAUUUUCGAAAACAAUUCAAUUUUCAUUCAAAUAAAAAUUUACUUAAAUUCUUGUUUAUAUCUGAAUUUAUAUAUAUUUUUAAAAUAAACAGUUCUUACUUAUAUCCGAACCAAAUGAAGCGUUGCAGGUUUUUAAGCAUUUACCUUGUUGACGCGGUGGAGGACGGAGUUGGCGUCGCCGCCGCCGAAGGCGUCGAUGACCUGGCCGAAGAUGACGGUCAUGAGCGGCUGCGAGACGCCGUUGGCCACCGCCGCCACCGCCCCGACCGCCAUCAGCAGGCCGUCCGCCGCGUCCGCGAACGCCAGCAGCCGGUGCACCCCCACCUUCUUCACCUCCUCCUUCUUCUCCUCCUCCUUCUUUACCUCCUCCUCCUUCUCCUUCCCAUUCUCUCUCUCUCCUCUCCCCUCCAUUAAUCUCUCUCUCUCUCUCUCUAAGCUCUUCUUUCUCGUUCUCUCUCUAAGCUACUCUUGUGUUGGAUAUAGUUUGGAGGCUAUUUAUGGCGAUUUGUAGGGGAGGAGAGAGAGAAUAUGAGAUCGUGGUCAUUUCAAUUAAAAUAGAAAAAACUUCACGGGUAAAUUUCAUAUAGAUCCUCUCGCAAACCUAAUGAAUUAUAAAUAUAUUAUUUCUACAGAGUUUAACUUUUUAUAUAUUGUUUCUGUAAAAAUUUUGAUGUUUUCAAAUAUGUCCCUGCUGCUAUGCCCCUCCAAAAACCAUAACAGUAAAAUAUAAGAGGAAAAAAAAUAUCAAAAACUAAACAGGAUUAAAUAUAUUAUUUCUACAGAGUUUAACUUUUUAUAUAUUGUUUCUGUAAAAAUUUUGAUGUUUUCAAAUAUGUCCCUGCUGCUAGAAUCCGUUAGAAAAAUUUAGUUAACCUAGGUUAAAUAUAUACUUAAUCCUGUUUAGUUUUUGAUAUUUUUUUUCCUCUUAUAUUUUACUGUUAUGGUUUUUGGAGGGGCAUAUUUGUGAUGGCGUAAUUGAAAAUAUAAAUAGUUCUUUAAUGGUUCUCUAAGAUAAUAAACCAGAGGAAUAUAUUUGAAAACAUCAGGACUUUUGUAAGAACAAUAUAUGAAAGUUGAACUUUGUAGUGAUAUUUGCAGGGACCUAUAUAAAACUAACCCAAACUUGGAAUGUCAUCCCUGUAGUUCAAUGCUUUCUUACUUCAGUAUCUUAUGAUUUAAACUGUAUCACUUUAUUAUUCUGUUAUUUUAUUUUUCUCUUUUUUAUUAUCACUUCCUUUAAUUUUUUUCGUUAAAUCAAUGGUAAAGUUAAAAUUAUAAGAUACCAAAAUAAAAAAUUUUGUAAACCACGCGAUACUAAAGUGAAUAUUCAAUAAGCCACAUGAGGUAUCUAAAGCUUUUUUUUUUUCUAUAUAUUUAUCAGAGAGUUAACAGAGAGAAAGAGAAAAAUGAAACCAUAAAGUAAUAAAGUGAGAAGUGCUAAACCACAGGGGAUAUAUUUGAAAAUUUUCCAUUAAAAUUUUUGUGUUUAGUAGUAGGGGAGUGAGAAAGAUUCGUGGAAAGAUAAAAUUGAGAAGAUAUAGUCUUGCUGGUAAAGUUUAGACAAAAAUUUUCUGAGUCUUGUUUUUUGUUUGGCGGAAAAUGAGAAAAAAUUGAAGGGAACUAAAGUUUUAUUUUCUUCAGUUCUACUGUUUGUUUGAUAGACAAUGAGUAAAAGUUGAAGGAAACUGAAGUUUUUUCAGUUUUGUUGUUUGUUUGGCAGACAGUGAGUAAAAGUUGAAGAAAACUGAAGUUUUUCAGUUCUGCUGCUUGUUUGACAGAAAGUGAGUAAAAGCAAAAAAGAAUAGAAAUUUUUUUAAUUAUGUUGUUCGUUUAGCAGAUAGCGAAUGAUAUAAAAACCGAAGAUGUGAGUAAUGAGUUAAUAUUUUAUUAUUUUAGUUUUAUUUUUAUUCAUUGAUUUCAGUAUAGAAUCGGACGAAAUCAAUUACGCUAUUUUGGUGAACUUGAGUUUUCGCCGAAAGUGAAGUUGCGAUAAACAAAAUAACAUAAGUGAACAUUGAGUUUGUUGUUUUUCCUUAAAAAAAAAUAAGUAAAAUAUAUAAUCUUACUAAAUUAUGAAUAUUAAAAAAAAAUUUUAAAAAAAAUAAAAUUAUUAACUUUUAAUUAUGAGAUAAUUUUUAUACUAAACAAGUUAUUUAUGAAUAUCUUAGGCAUCUGAACUUUGAAAGCUAUGAAGUUCUGCAUAAAUUUUUAAAUUUUCAAAAAAUUGGCCGUUGCGAACGUCUGCGCUUCUAAGUUUACAGAAUUAAAGGAUAUUAAAUAAUCUCUUAAUUUAUUUCAAUUAACCUUUGUUUUUUUACUUUUUAUGACAUUUUGUAACUAAUUUUAGAAAAUAUUUAAUGUCUCCAUUAAUGUCAAUUAUUAAGAUAGAUUAGUAAAAUUUAGCUUAGGUAACAAAUCAUUUGAUGGCUAAUUGAAAAAAAAAAAGUUAUUAUAUAUGUUAUUUUUACUUUGAAAGUUCAAUAGUAGGACUAUAAAUCGAGUUCGCUGUUUGCGAGCUAACUCGUAUUUUGCUCAAAAUUAAGUCGAAUCAAUUCACUUAUUUAAUUAACAAGCCGAUCACAAGCUCAUUUUUUUCAAGUCAAAAACUAAAUGAAUAAUAUUCUAAUUAGCACCACGUUUAAAUUUUAAUUAAUACUAGUUACACUUCAACAAAAACGGUUUAUAGCGACAUUUUUAAAUGUAGGUACAUUUCAAAAAAGUGCUGCUAGCUAAAAUUACCGACACUUUUAAAAAGUGUUGCUAUAUGUGGGGUCGCUAGGUAUAUAGUGACAGUUAAAGAGUGUCACUAUAACCUAAAAGAGUGCUGCUAAUUUACCAACACUUAUUUAAGCAUUUAGCAACCGCUGAAACUCUAUCUCGUUGGGUGCGGUGGCGGAGGAGGACGACAGUAAAGGCUCUUCGUCUAAAAUUUCAGUGGAUUGAGUGAAGAGAGAAGAAAAGAUGGUAAUUGAUUUUUCUUUUUUUUUUCUUUUCUGUUUGUAAUCGGGCCAAAUGGACUGGGUGUGGUGGGUUGAGUAGAGUAAUCUUUUAUUUUUGGUUGGAUUGGGCUUUAUAUUUAGGCAUUAGUAGAUGUGUUUUUAAGUUUUAGCAUAAAUGGGACACUUACUCAAAAGUAUCUAAACAUGUGUCCCUAUAACCUAAUUCUGUUGUAGUGUUAGUACUACUAAGAGCGAAAGCCAACAUCAAUAACAACAAAUUAAUAAUAUAUUCUAAUUAUAGUCCGUAUUAAUAUUUUAUUAAAGUUUUAUUCUAAGCUGGUUCGAAAUAAUUUUGAGUCCGCUAAAACUAUUUUCGAAUUGAAAAUGAGUUGAAUUAUCUCAAUUUCUUUGAAAUUUGAGCUGAACAUAUAAUUUUAAACUAGCUCGCUCGUGUUCGACUCGAAAACAUACAUUAUAUUAUUGCAGCAUAUAUCUUAUAUUAUUUCAUUAGAAAAUUAUAAAAUGAGAGUAGACUACCAUAGUUAGUUAAUUCGGAUUCGGCAAAAAUUCGGUACGAAUAUAAUACGCAUAAAAUUUAUUUUUUAAUUUUUAAAUUUAUUAAAAAAUUCGGCUUAAAAAACAAGUUCGGUAUAAAAUAGAAAAUAUAAUAUAUAAAAUAUAAGAUAAUCUAUAUUUAAAUAUAAAAAAAUAUAUUUUUUAUUUAUAUUUUUAAUAAUUCGGGAAUAAUUCAGAAAUAAUUCGCGAAUAAUUUACGAAUUUUUCGGCUGGCCAAAAAAUUCACAAAUAAUUUUUAUUUUAAAAAAAAUUCAUAAAUGAACCGUUUAAUCUGAAUUUUUAAUAAUUCGUGAAUAAAUUCGCGAAUAAAAUCGCGAAUUAACAUAGGAGUAGAGUACUUGUUGGAGAAGCCAAAAAGUGGAAAGGGGAUUGAAUGUGGAGGGCAAAAUUGGAAUUUCAUAACUCCACACUUGGUUUGAUUUUUUUAGUGGUUUUUCUACAUCUUCUUUAAUAAAAAAUAAUAAUAAUAUAAGUGAGUCCUCUUCUUGUCAAAAUUAUUACAACAAAAGUAUACUAUUUCUUGGAUCUCUUUUGAAUAAUAAUAUUCUAAGCUUCUCACUAUCAAAUUCUUAUAAUAUUUUUUUAUUUUUGGUCAAAGGGGCCUUGGGAACCUUGCUCACUAAGAAUACUCUGUUCCUUUCAAAUUGGAAAAAAAAAAAAAAUUGAAUUUAAAUUUAGUUUUUAUUUAUGGGUAGGUGGGGGAGUUAAAAAGAAUAAAAAGUGUACCUAUUUUCAAUUUUUAUUAUUUUUAUAAAAUAUUAGAAUAAAAAAAAAUAUUUUAGUAAAUUUUAAAGCGUUUUUUUGCUUGAGUUUCAAAGUAGUUUAUGAAAUUUUUGUGUUUUUUUUCUUUUGUUUUUUCUUUUUAGACUUUUUUUACUUGUAAUAAGUUAUCGUCUGUGUGAGAUGUUUCUGUACAUUUUAUGUACCAUAUUUAUCAUUUAAUAAUUAAUAUUUUAGAAUAAAAUAUAAUCUGAUACAUAUGAUUUACAAUUAUUUAUCUAUAUAAAAGUCGUAAAUUACGAAGAUUUAUUACGUAGAUGUCAAACUAUUUUUAUGGAGUUUGUAUGUGCAUUUUAUACGCCACUUCCAAAACUUCAAAAUAGAGGCAAAAUCUAGUAUAAGAGUCUUAAUAUUAUUUAGAUUAAAAUACAAAAAAAUUUCGUAUAAAUAUUUAUUUUUAAUUUUUUUAGCUUUCAAAAUUUAAAUUUUAUCUUUUUAAAAUUUUGAGUUGAUAUAUUUAGCCCCCAUCGGUCUAUUCUGUCCAUUUCUCAUCAUUUAUACUGAAAAUAUUCUUAAAAAUACCAUAAAUAUAUUAAAAAAAUAUUUUUCUUAUAAAAUAAGUAAGAGCAUUAGAGUAAUUUGAUCAUUUCGUCUUUUCUAUUAACGUCGCAAUCCCUAAAAAUAUUUCUAAAAUAUUUACGAGGGCAAAAUAAAGGUUUCUCAAAAUCAAAAGAAAAAAAAAUUAAAAAAAAAUAGAUAUUUACCGAAAGAUUAUCUGUAUUUUUAGCCUAAUAUUUAAGCUCAAGUUAGUUAUUAGAACUAAAUUGUUAACUAUAUACAAAGCUCACCGAUCUUCGUUCUAUAUUAUUUAAUGUGGAAUUAUUGGGAUGUCACAACAAAAAGUACUAAACAUCAGAGAAUGUUUUUGUAUCUUUCCUUGAUAAAAAAACAUAUAAAACUUACCACAAUGAUAUAUCAUCUUUGCGGAUUCGACUAUCUAAUCUUUAAAAAUUUUAAUUUUACUCUCUGAUCAUUUUAUUUAUUUGAUUUUAACUAAUUAAUGAUUUUUUAACUUCAAAUUGUGAAUGCAUCUUUCUAGGUUAAAUUUGCAUACUUUAUACAAUAUUCAUUAUAAAAUUAUUAAGAUAAACAAUUAACUUAAAUUUUACAAUCGAAGUAUCACCAAAUCGCUUAAUGCAAAUAAAUUAAAAUAUUAGAUACUAUAAUCAAAAUUUUAAAGGAUCGAAUAGUUGAAUCAAAAUAAUGAAAAAACUUCGAAUACUUCCCCUGUAAUUUCGCACUUUCUCACUUUAGUACCAUGUAGUUUAAAGUGUAUCAAGUUAGUACCUUAUGGUUUCGCACUUUUUCACUUUGGUAUCCUGUGGUUUAAAGUGUAUCAAGUUAGUACCCUGUGGUUUUGCACUUUCUCGCUUUAAUACCCUGUGGUUUAAUAUUUCGUUAAAUUAUAUAUAAAAAACUUCAGAUAGAUUACCUAGGUUUAUCGAAUAUUCAUUUUAGUACCCUUCAGUUUUAACUUUGUCACUGAUUUAACGAAAAAAAUACUCCGAAAUGGAUAAUAAAAAGAAAAAAAUGAAAUCAUAGGUUACUAACUUGAUACAAAAAUGAAACCAUAUAGUACUAACUUGAUAGACUUUAAAUCACAGGGUACCAAAGUGAGAAAUUGCGAAACCACACGGUAUUAACUUGAUACACUUUAAACUACAGGGUACUAAAAUGAGAAAGUGCGAAACUACUAGGAGGUUUUUGAAGUUUUUCCCAAAAUAAUUUAUAGUCCAGAUAUGUAUUAUGUAUUUAAAUUUUUUUUUCCAAAAAAAAGUGGCCCAAGGUAUUCUAAUUUAUUUUUGAUUGCAUCACCAUGGCUGUUGCUUGCAGGUCUCUCUCUGUUCACAAAAAUUUGCGAGUCAAACCCUUCUAGGCUAAAUUACAAAACCCCCCUUGUACUUUAACAAUUGUCUCAAUUAACUCCUUGUAUUAAAAAUUAUGAAUAAUUGCUUAUAAGCCUCUCAAAACUUCAGAAAUAGUUCGUUUACCCCUACUUUUUUUUUUUUUCCUUUUCAAUAUACCCCUCAUAUGUAGGGAUGCAAACGGAUCCGGGUUGGUGGAGCUCCCGUCCCGAUCCGCCACGAUGGGGGCAGUAAAUGAGAGAAAAUAAACGGAUUCGGGACGAGAAAUGGAGUAAAUUUUACGAUCCGAGACGGAUUCAGGGCAGAAAACGGGAGAAAUUUUGACCCGUUCUGAAUCCGCUCCGAAAAUUAUUUAUAUUUUUUUAAAAAAAUUUCUAAAAAAUAAUGUAUUUACAAAAAAGUUCAAAAUACAAAUAACUUAGUACUCUCUUUUCUAAUGUAUUUGAAACUUUUGAAUUUUGUUUUGAAUUGUGAUUGAUAUUUUUUAUUUUUAUAAUUAAUAUUAUUAAAUUAUAUAUAUAAUAUUAUUAAAAAUUAUUAAUUUAUAUUUUACAAAAUAUUAAUAAUAUUAUAAUUUUAUAAAAAAUAUUAGUUGGCGGGGCGGAUUUGGGGCGCCGGUGGGAGGUGGGUUGCGAGGCGGUGCGGAUUAUGAGAUGUAUUUUUUAACCCGUCACGGAUUCGGGGCGGGAGGCGGGGCGGAAUUUUGCUAGUCGGGGUAAGAGCAGGGCGGGGCUCCCGCCUCCAGAUCCGCCCCGUUUGCAUCCCUACUCAUAUGUUCCUUUGUUAUUUCAAAAUAUCCUUCAGUUACUACCCGUUUAGUUAACUUGAAUUAAACGUGAUUAAAUAUUUACUAGAGUUAAAAAAAAAAAAUCAAAAUAUCUCUUUUAUUCUUAACUUAAGGGCGAAUAAAAAAAUGUGAUUGAUGGUAAAGAUGUAUUUGAAAAUUUAAAAAAUCAAAAUACUUUUUGUACCCUAACUUAAGAGUAAAUAAGAAAAGUCGGUGAUGGUGCAAGAGUAUAUUUGAAAGGGCAAAAUAGUAAUUUUAUAUAGAUAAUAGUUACUGCUGACAGUUGAUUAACAGAAUUUAAUUCUACGGAUAUAUUUGAAAUAUGUUCGAGACGUAAAAAAAAUAUUUUUAAUAUUAGACUUUUAAAAAAAAUAAAUCAGAAAAUUGAAACUUUUCAAAAUUAUAUAAGCAAUUGCCCUUAAAAAUUAUGUCAAACACUCCCAUACUUCACCACUGCUUCAAAUCGGUCCAAAAUUUUUGAAUGGUUGUUAAAUUCAGCUUUAUAAUUUUAUAUUGGAAAAACUUUAAAUAUCUCUCUUGUGAUUUAGUAUUUUCUCAUUUUAAUACCUUAUGGCUUAAACCGUAUCAUUUUAGUAUCUUAUAAUUUCAUUUUUCUUUUUCUGCCGAUACCUCCGUUAAUUCUCUAUUAAAAUAUAUAAAAGAAACUUUAGAUAUUCCUAUGGUUUAUCGAAUAUUCACUUUAGUAUUCCGUGAAUUACAAAAUUUUUAAUUUAGUACUACGUUGUUUUAACUUUCUCACUAAUUUAACAGAAAAAUUAACGGAGGAGAUAACAGACAGAGAAAAACGAAACAACUGAGUACUAAAGUGAUACAGUUUAAACCAUAGAAUACUCAAGUGAAAAAGUGUUGAACCACAUGGGUGGUAUGUGAAGCUUUUUUUUUUAUAUUUGCAUAUUAAGUUUGUUAUAAUUUAUGCAGGACGAUAAUUAACAUAGUUUUUAAUACAAGGAGCAAUGAGACAUAGAAUAAAAUGCAAGGGAUCUUUUUGUAAUGUGUGGGCCCCAGAGUUAAUUAAAGUGUUGUAUAGUGAUUGAUAACAGUUAUUGAGUCCUUUUGUUGCAUCUGCAUCUAACACAGAGAACACUGAUACAGAAUAUUCUUAAAUCUUAACGGGUCGAUCGGAUCCAAAAUAUUAAAAAUAUCGAUACCCGAACCGCUUAAGUUUUCAGCAACUAUUUGAUUGGAUGUUUAAACACUGCUAACUCAUCAGCAAUAUUUAAAGAGCAAAAAAAAAGAGAUCCUUUUAAAUACAGCUGAUGAGCUAAAUGUUUUUAUAGAUACUGGUUAUAGUGCGCGUGUAAUUCAAAUCACAUUUACAAAUUGAACGAAAAUUAAAAUAAAACUUCUCGGACUAAAGAGCCAGCAAUUUUUCUGUGGCGGGAGAUCGAGUUAGAUCGAAUCAUGUUUGAAGUAGCGAGAGGCUGGUUAGGCCGAAUCACAAUCAAGGUCGGUCAAUAUGCCAUAUCUGUACGCCUUACGUGAAUUGAUCGUAUAUUUCUAACAGUUCGAGAUUUAGGAAUUAAUUGUUAGCGCUAAUGAUCCAUUCGCAAUCUAUUGUGCGAACGGCACAAAUUCCAAAACUUUGCACGCAAUGCAAUAAACUGUGCCAUGUUUGGGGCCAUCCCCACCAACUUUUUUUUUUUUUUUUUUUUCUUUAAUCCAAUCCAUUUGCUUAGUAGGGAGGUAGUAUCAUGUCUUGGAGGAGGAGGCAAUGAAUAAAUUAAUAAUAAGAAAUUAAUUAAAAAGAGAGUAGAGGAGGUGCAGUUGCUUGGAGGUGAAGGUAACCCAAAAAAAAAAAAAAGAAAAAGAAAACCCUCUACUUUAGACAUAAUUAGAUCAAUGUUUCAAGAUUUUUUUUUUUAAAGAUAAUUAUCUUUAUACUUUUCAUACGUUUGAAAAUAUUCGAUUUAUUUUUAUUUAUUUUUUUAAAAUAUUCCUUAUAUGUUCCACUGUUAUUGUAAAAUAUCCCCGCAGUUAUCUCCUGUUAAGUUAACUUAGGUUAAACGUGAGUUAAAUAUCUAUUACAGUUAAAAAAAUUAAAAUACAAAUUUUGUCCUUAACUUAAGGACAAAUAAGAAAUGUUGGUGACAGUAGAGAAGUAUAUUGGAAAAGACCAAAACUCAAAAUAAUUUUUGUCUCCCUAACUUUAAGGGCAAAUAAAAAAAACAGUGAUGGUGGAAAUGUAUAUUUGAAAGGGUAAAAUAGUAAUUUUACAGAAAUAACAGAGUUAAUUAAUAGAUUUUAACUCUAGAGAUAUAUUAGAAAUAGGUUGGAACGUAGAAAGGGUAUUUUUAAUAUUAGCUUUCUAAGAGAGGUAAAUUGAAAAGUCAGAAACUUUUCAGGAAUAUGUAAGUAAUUUUAGCCUUCUAAGAGAGAUAAAUUAGAAAGUCGAAAAUUUUUCAAAAAUAUAUAAGCAAUUGUCCCCUUUUUUUUAUUUUUUUAUUUUUUUUUUACGUAUAAACAGUUUUAGUCACGUGCAUCGUGGACGUUUCAACGUUGACGCUACAUUGUUCACGGCGUCAACUAUGGACCAGUUUCAAACAGCCACCAAGCUAGAAUUCAAUCUCGAUGGGCGCCAAAAUAUAUUCAAAAUAGAAGCUUUAGUAAUAAAUAAUAAACAAAAUUUUUUCUAAUUGAAAAAUUUUUAUAAAAAAAUUAUUAAUUAAAUAAAUAAUGUAAAUGCAUGAAAUUUAUUAUUAUUUUUUUUAUUUUAAGAUGUUUAACUUCUAAUUAUUUUAUUUAUAUUAUUAUAUUAGAAUAAUUUAGAAAUUUUACUAAAUCUAACAAUAAUUUUUUAGGUUUUAAGAAAAUAAAAUUAACAUAGGUAUUAAAUUUAGUACAACCCUUGAUUUAGUCAAAUAAAAGAGCUCGCCUAAGAUAAAUAAAAAUUUUAAAAACUAUUAAAUAAAAUUUUUAGAGUAAAGAAAUACAUUACAAAAUACUCUCUAUAUAAACAAGAGACCCUUAAUAUAUUUUCAACCAUAAAAAGAGUAUACCGAUUAGGAGGAAGAGAGAGAGUUAUUUUGGCACCGUACUAUUAAGUAAAUAUUGAAAAAUUAGAGGUGCCAAAACUAUCCGUGGCCCAUAAAAAAAAAAAGAACUUUUGAGGACAUUAAGUAAUAUUAGACGUGAGGAGUCAUGGCACUUGGGCGUCGAGUAGGGGUGUCAAUGGCGUAUGUGCGAUACCUGAAGUUUAUAUCCCCACCCGAACCGAAUAUGAAGCAGUUAUAUCUAGGUGCUAUAUGGAUUGGAUUGGAAGAUGGAUAUCCAAAAUAUAAACCCGACGAUAUGGAUUGGAUAUUGGAUUUUGAUAACGCAAACACAAUGAACCAACCGAAUAUUAAUUAUAUAUAAUACUAUGCUUAUACUAUACUAGUUAUAUAUAUAUAAUUGAGCUGAGAUACUUUUAGAAUAUACCUCGUUGGUGCUAUUAUAGAUUUUUAGCUAAUGGAUCUAUCAUAGAUUACAAUAGCCUAUAGCAACUAUUCCACUACCACCUAUACCUACAACCUCAACCUAAUGUUUAUAUAUCCAAUGGUUAAAAACUCAAGCCCAAUUUAUAUUUUAGAAGUAUUCUAGCUUAACUUGUCUCUGUAUCUCUCUUCUCUCUCUAUCUCUGCUUAUUAUAUAUAUAUAUACUAGUUGAGCAUACGUGCAACUGCACGUAACAAUUAUUUUAAUUUAUUUUAAAUCAAUAAACAUUUGUAAAUCAUAUUUAUUCAAAAAUUUAGAAUAAAAUAUUUUCUAAAUUUACAUGUUACAUUUUAUUAGAAAAUAUCUAUAAUAUCAAAUUUAAAUUUUAAUAUAAAAUAGAUGAAUAGAUUUAAUAUCAAAAAUUAAAAAUUUAAUUUAUAAUUUAAACUCAAAUUUAAAUUUUAAUGUAAAAUAAAUGGAUAAAGUGCUACUUUUUAACAGAUUGAAUAUAACAAUUUAUUUUUAUUUUCAAUAUUUUUAACCUAUAACCGUUCGUAGAAUUGAAGUUAUAGAUAGGUAUAAAUAUUUUUUUUUAACAAAUUGAUCAUAAUCGUUCGUUCUUAUUUGAGAUAAUUUUUUACAAAUGAAUCAUAAAUUUGUAUAUCAUAUUUAUUCAAAAAUAUGAUUUACAAAUUUAUCAACCAAUCUAUCUUUUAAAUUAUUUCUAUUGUAAUAUAUUGAUAGUCCCAAAAUUUUAAAUUUUAAAUUAAUUUUAAAUUUUGAAUUGAAAUAUAAAUAAAUUUGGAUAAGCAUAAAUUUUUUUCUAUUUUAGGGAUAAAAAAAUUAAAUAAAUUUUUAAUUAAAGUAUAGAUUCACAGUAGAUAUCUUUCAGUUGACAAAAAUUUGGAUAAGUAUAUUUUUUUUCUAUUUUAGAGAUAAAUCGAAAUUAAAAGUUUGUUUCAUUACGUUAUUUAUUUUACGUAAGAAAAAAGAAACAAAUAUUUUUUUCCCGCCAAAAAAUAGGUCCGUCGACAUACCCAAAUUUGAAAUACGUGCUUUUAUAUAUAUAACAAUUUGAUGUUAUAUCUGAAUUUGUAUUUUAAAAAUUUAGAUUUAAUAUAGUAUAUUUUGAAAUAUUGAAAAAAUAAAUAAUUGUUUCGGGUUCAAAUUUUCGGGUUCGGGUUUGGAUUCGGGUUUUGGAUUUUUGGUCGGGUUCGGUUUUGGAUAUGAAUUUUUAAAAUCCUUCGGGUUCGGGUCUCGGGUUUGGAGUCGGGCUCGGGUUCGGGUUUUUGAAAAUCCGCCCCGAAUUCGACCCGUUGACAUCUCAACUCCGCAUAGCUCCGUCCCUUGUGAAAUUAUUAUUCUUUUACCCUUCGUCCCUUGUGAAAUUAUUAUUCUUUUACCCUUCGCACGCUUUGCUAAUUAAUGGAACAUACAUCUCCAAAUUUCAGUCUCCAAAAUAUAUAAUGUAAUUAUCCUCACUUACGCUCGAACAUUUGUGACGCUUCAAAAUAUUCUUUAGCUUGCUAAUUGGUCCCCUAGCUAGGGAAGUAUAAUUAAUUAGGCAGUGAAAUAAAAUAACCAGUGAGAUAAAGCUACAUUAAAGACACUAAUCACAUUAUUCAUAUAUAAAUAGACUACUUGUAGUAGUCUUAUUCCAAUCCUGCACCAAGUAAAAUAGGAGACUGUACACAAAGCAGUAAAACUUUAACCAUCCUUCAUAACAAGGACGAAAUCCAUAGGCUAUAAUAACAGAGGGUUUUUUAAUUCAUACACCACCGAGAACAAAAAGAAAAUACAAAUACAUAGGCAGUUUCUUUUGGUCUUGUUACAUUCCUAUAUAUAGAGAAAUCGAUAAGAGUCUUUAAUUGGUUCUUGUACCACCAAACAUAGAACAUAAGCAGUAACACUUCGGUCUUUUCGUGCAAUCAUGUGAAAUGAAUCUAAAGUUUGCUUAAAAAAUGUAAAGAACGUAAAUGUAAGAUACUGCAGGAUGCGGUUGCAUGUUGAUGCCUGCUCAGCAUUGCCUUCAUUUUCCUCUUAUGAUGCAUUAUCACAAAAGCAUCCACCAAAUUUACUCCAGAUAUCGAUACAACCUGCAUUAAAAACUGAAAAAAGUUUAACAAAAUUUGAAGUUAUGAUUUAUACUGCUGAAAUUGAGUUCACCAGUUUAAUCUGGUGCCUAUUAUAAUGCCCAAAAAGUAGUAAUAAUAAUAAUUUGAAACACAUUUAAAGCAAUGUUUAACAACUUCACUGGAUAAUACACAAGACAAAACAAGCUUAUGACCUGUAUAUAAAUUGAGGAGAAACAAAAUUGAAGCAUUUAACCUCCCUUCCACAAAAGAGGGCAAUUUCUUUCUGAAAGAUCUUACAUUAGUUUGGCUGCUACACACACACACACAUACACACACACACACACAAAAAAAAAAUGCAUGGAAUCUUACUCUGAUCCUGCACCAACAAAACUGAUGAAGAACACAAACAUACAAUAAGAAAUUAGUCCCUUUUUUUUUUUUUCAAUAUUCUUGUGAAUAAAAUGAUAGACCAUAUAUGGGAGUCAUAUAUGAGUCCAGUACGAAUAAAAUAGAAGAACAUAAGCAGUAAGAGUUUAGGCAUCUAUUGCUCCUACAAUGAAAUUGAUAGACUACAAAAUGAGUUGUUGUUUUUUUUUUUCAACUCAUGCACUGAAAAACAAAAAACAGAGAGAAUAAGUAAUUUAGUAGUACGAUUUUAAUCUUGUUUGUGUGCCUGAUAAGGAAAAAAUAGAUUUGAGCGCCAAUAGAGAGUCCUAUUCCUUACAUGUUCCUGCACUACCGAAAUAGAACAUAAGCAGCAAAAAACUUCACUCUUUUUUUAUAUUAUUGAACAAAUUGAGUGAAAUAUAUGUAGGAGUGUUAUAAUGUUACUGUGGUCCUGCACCGAGAAAUUAAAUGAACUUGAAAGCUUUUGUCGCGCGGGUCUCUUAUGUUCUAACUAAUCACUGGACAAUUAGUCAUAUUUUUUAACUUUUGAAAGCAAUUGAUAUACUAGCAACAUAUGUUAUAUUCAUUACAUUGCUUGUUUUACAAGACCAAUCCGUCCUGUGAGAAUAACAUCAUGUAUUAAUCACAGGGCGCAAUUAAUUAGCGCUAUAUUCCCUAAUUAUGUAUCCAAACCAUAAAGUAAGAGUGCAAAAUAUAAAAAAUUCCUAAUGGAGGAUGCUAAUUAAAAACGAACCUGACUGCCGCUGUAUUCUUCAGAAAAUCGAAUCCUGAAACAAAUUAGAUAACCUUGUUAAUUAAGAUCGAACGAGAUGUAGCUCAUUAAAAUCGAAAUGAAUUGCGUUAAUCGCAGAGAGUAGCAGGGGCGAGAUGAAGGAUGGUAAAGUAAACAUACAAUUUCGUCAUCGUCACUCUGCAACUGUUCAAUCCACACGUUAGGGAUGUGGGCAAUCUUGGGCCAAUCAAGGCCAACAUUCUCUUGGCAUCGCUCCUUCAACACAGGGUGACACUCAAGGAUCCAUAGAUAACGCAGUGAAGUAGGCAGAUUUGGGAGAGACUGGAUGAGAUUAGCAUCAUUUACUUUGAGACGCUCAAGGGAGCGCAGUUUUGUCAUGCUCUGGGGGAGGGACUGAAGGGAGACUGCAUUCCAUAUGCUCAAAAAUUUGAGGGCAGCGUGAUUUUGCAGUAGCCAUUCCUCAGGUAAGGAGGUGAGUAAAGCAUCAAAGAGAGUCAACUCGUUGAUGGAGGAGAGACUUCUCAAUGGCUCCAUGAGCAGGAGCGCGUGGUGGUCAAUUGAUAGCUCGCCAUCCUUCAAAAGGCAGUCCGCUGCAUCCUCUUUUUGGCCGGCAUCAUUUGGGAACGGAGGCUGUAGCAGCAGGGCAAAUUCAAUCAGCUUGUCGCACCCUUCAAUUUUUAAAUAACGGAGGGAUACGAGAGCUUGUAUUCCACCAAUUGAUGACAGCUCUUUGCAGUUCUUUAUCACUAAAAUGGAAAGCAUUGUCCACCGUGCACACGCUUGUGCUGGGGGAAGGGAUGUUAUGCUUGCGCAAUCGACUAAUACCAAAUAGAAAAGAGAGGUUAAAUUUGGUAAUAACUGGAGCAAUGGCACCUCAAGGUCGCCACAUGACCCAACAGUGAGACAAUUGAGUAUAGAGGGCUGUUGGAUGUCUGAGAAGACUGAGAUCAGAUGUUUUGUCAACUGCGGGCACUUUUCUACAUAUAGCACUGUGUGGGUGUCGAAUUUCUGAAAAAACUCUGUUGGAACAUAUUCAAGCUUCUCACAUUGUUUGAUGACUAAGCUUUCAAGAGCUGGAAAAUGUUCUUGCUGCUGUAAGAAAAGAAAAGAUGUAAAAGAUAUUUAAGUCCGGGCAAUCAAAGCCGUGCAAAUACGAAUUGGUGUUUUAAUAUAAGGGUAAAGUUCAAAUUGCCCCUGCGUGGUUAAACUCAUUUUUACCUUGCCACCUUGCGGUUCAAAAAGUUUUACUUUGCCCUCUAGUGGUUUAAUUUUUAUUUCAUCAAAAAAAUUCUAUAUGAAAUAGCAUGGCAAAUUAAAAAUAUUUUAAAAAAAUCACAGGAUAGCAAAGUAAAAAAUGAGCUGAACCAAAAGAGGCAAAGUGUAACUUUUUAAACCACGAGAUAGACAAAAGUAAAAAUAGGCUAAACCACAGGGGGAAGGGGCAAAGUGAUACAUUUUGAACUACAGGGCGGGUAAAUGAAAAUGAGCUAAACCCAAGGAGAAAUUUGAAGUGUACAAAAUAAAGCACUUACAUUGUUGUCUGUGUAAUUCCGAUUUAUUGUUGGAAGAGCGGUCAAGCCAACAUUUGAAAUUUGCAAUCGUCUUAGACUAUAAGGCAGAAUAGGAAUUUCCCCCAAAUUAGGGCAGUCGGUGAUAUACAUAUAAUGAAGUUGAGGAAACAUGCACCCAUUAUCUACUCCAAUCCACUCCUCCAAAUUAGGCAUGCCCCAUAACUGUAACUCCUUCAACAAUGGAAAGGCACAUCCACUGCUGCUUCUGAUGAAUGAACAAUCUAUUUGCUUUAUUGCAUGCAGUCUCUUCAAAUGAAGAUAUUGAAGUGAAGUAAACUGCCCAAGAGGUGGAAGGUGCUCCCAUCCUUUACAAUCAAUCAGUUCGAUGGACGUCAAGUUGACAAGAGACAGAUUUGUCAUCCAACAUGGAGAUUUAGCACCUUGGUAUUGUUGGAUGCACAUUUUCUUGAGAUUUUUAUGCGGGCAGAGGUUAUCGAGGAGCUGUUCAUCUGCCUCUGCACUAUUGGAGCAGUGUGCGGACCAUUUCAAUGACAAUGAUUUGAGAUGUUCUUUCUCAUUCAACUUGGCCUCAUUGGCUUCUUCAGAAGUCCUCACAUUUUCAAGUCCUCUAAUAUAUAGAUGACGAAGGUCCCUUAGGUUCUUUAGUUCACCAAUUUUGUAACCACUCUUCGCUUGGACAAUAAAAUUUUGUAAUUUGUGAAUGAAGGGUAAUUUUCUAAUAUAAGGAAUAUUUUUUAUCACAUCAUCGGAAACAUCAAAUGAACGCAAAUUGACCAAGUUGGUCAUGCCAUCAUAUUCAAUAUUUUUGUUCAGAAUGAACUGUCGUGGAAGUGAUAGGUAGCGGAGGUGUAUCAAGCUAUCAAAUGCAUCAGGUGAUUUACUAAAAUCAAAAUUCUUGCAUAAGCUCAAUAGGCGUAACUUUUUAAACCCUUUUAUAACCUCGAUAAAUUCAGAUACAUAAUCUGCAUUAUCCAUAUUAUACCCUUUACCCGAUAUGACAAGAGAGCGUAAGUUCUUAAGAGCGGAGAUCUCUCCGAUGGAUAGAAGCUUGACUAUUUCAACAGAUAAAUGUCGAAUUGUUCGUGGAAUAUUAGUAAUUCUUGCAACAUCACCUCCUAUUCUGAUGCAUUCUCCUUGAGAAACUGAUCGUGCUAGGUCAUGCAGCAGAUCGUGCAUAAAAUACUCUAUAAUAAUUUUCGACCCAUUAUCACUGGUUUUGCAAGUAAAGAAUGAUUUUCUUGUCAGAAGAUUUAAAUACUCCUUUCCGAUAUCCUCUGGCCUUUGCCUUCCACAUAUAGAUUGCGGAAUCAGACCCGAACCAAUCCACAUAUUGACCAACUUUUUUCUCUUAAACAUAUGAUUCUGCGGAAACAAACUGCAAUAUCUAAAGCAGAGUUGUAAGUUUGUAGGUAAGUGAUCGUAGCUUAAUCUUAAAACUGUCAUGUUGUCGUCGUUUCCUUGUUGUAAUUUCAUGUUGCCUUUUUCCAGGAUUUUCUUCCAAUAUUCAUAGUCCAUGUAGGAGUUCAGCAUUCCUCCCAUGACCUUUAUGGCCAAUGGCCAUCCUCCAAGCUUCUUCGCUAUAUGUUCGCUAAUCGGUUGAAAGUUUCUAUAAUCAUCAGGGUUCACACCGAGAAAUGCAUGCUUAUUGAAAAGCGACAUAUAGUCGCUCUCCUUCAACUCAUUUAGAUUUAAUGAUUCCCGUUUGCAUUUCGUCACUGUUGCCGCCAUAUCUGCAACUGAACCCAUUCGAGUUGUCAACAAGAUCUUGCUUCCUCUCUGUCCGAAUUUCAAAGGAGCAACCAAUUUCUCCCACUCCGUCAUUUUAUCAUCGUUCCAAACAUCAUCCAGUAUGAGCAAAAACCUUUUUGAUGUAAGUUUUUGUUUAAGAUCCUCAUGGAGAGCAUUUAAACUAGUUGAGCAAGAGUAGUCUAACAUCUUUCUUGUUAUCGCAGCUGCAUCAAAGUCCAAAGAAACGCAAACCCACAUAAUCGGGUCGAAGUACUCUCGCACUCUUUCGUCACGACAGAUUAGUUGAGCAAGAGUAGUCUUCCCGAGCCCACCCAUGCCAACAAUUGUAUAAGCGGAGACAUCAACAUUAACAUCUCCCGGUUUGAUCAGCCAUUCAACUAUCUGGUCCCUCUCCUUGUCUCGUCCGAGCACCUCACUUUCGGUUAGCAAGGAGCUAGUCUGUCGAGCUUUUAUGAUAUCUUCGAGCUGCUGACGCUUGACACUAGGGCCAUAAAACCCAGUAACAAGUUGAAGGAAUGGCCCCAUAUCGGCAACGACCCUAUCCAACCCCUUGACGGCCUCCCUCAACCGCUUCCGUGUGUCAUUGCUAAAGAAAUCAGAGAGACUACUAUUAAACUUUCUCUUGAAGUUAGAUAGAAAACCACGCACCUCGCCAUCUCGAGCCUCCUCUCUAGUCUUCUUUAGCUUGUAGUACUCCAACUCGUCGAGCACGUCCUCCGCGUUCUCCACAGCGUCUCUAAACUGCCACAGCCACGCAUCCAGCGCCUUGUUCUCCACCAUGUCCGGCGCACCGCCCUCGACCGCAGUCAAGACUGCCAGGACCUGCGGAAGUGCGUGCUGUAGCCGUUCGAGCUCGUCCUGCAUGCCUCCGCGGAAGGGCGCCGGGUACACCUCAAGGUAGGAAAAGCAUGUAUCAACGAGCUUCUCGAUGAUCGCCGUCCCCACCGCUCCGGCUAUGAAAGGUAGAGCCAUGAUCGACUUCACCACUGCUCAGGCGCGCAAUUGAUGAAACUCGAUCCUGGAGUGCAGAAAAUUGGAGAAUGAGGAAAGAGAGAUGUCGAAACAAUCAGCUGAGUAGAUAGAUACAAUCGCACGCAGGCAUCAAAGAAUUAAGAUCCGCGAAGAGUAGUAUUUUCUUGUAUUAAUUCUUCUCGGAAGAGGGGAGGAAAUAAAGUAUGGAUGCUUUAUUUGACAACAAAAGCCCCCCACUAAUUAAGCGGGCGUUUCGAUUCCCUAAUUUUUUUUUUUUUAAAAAAAAAUUGAAAACCAGUGUUUUUCGGGAAAAAAAAUAUAUGAUUUUUAUUUUUUGAAUAGGGAAGAUAAUUUUCGGAUAAAAUUUAGAAACUAAACAAGCUAAUUAAAUAAAAUAAUAAUAAUAAAUUCAGCUAGAAAAUUAUUUUCAAAAAUAUUUUCUCCGAAAUCAAAUACUAAAUCGAAAUAUGCCCACUUUCAUUCAGUAGCAAACAAGUUAAACUUCGGGCAUGUUUGGUUCGUCGGAAGUGUAGUAUCGAAAAUGAUACUUUUAAAAAGUGACGUCUUAUCGGUUGUUUGGUUUACGAAAAUGAGUAUAAAAGUCAUUUUACGAAAAUGGGCUGAUAAAGUGAGUUAUAGCUAAAUCUCACUUUUUUGACUUCGGAUCAAAAAAUUCGGAAGUCACUGAAAGUGAAGAACUUAGCUAAGAGGUUAUAUUUGGCCUUAACUUUAAUAUUUAAAUUUAUUUUUAAAGUUUAAUUUCAUUUUAAAUUUGAAUUAAAAUUAUGAUCACAUUUUGAAUUUUAUUUGUGAAUUAAAAUUCAACAUAAAAUUUUAAAUUCAAAUUUAUGACUUUAUAUUUAAAUUUAAAUUUUAAAAUUUUAUUUUUAUUUAAAGUUGAAUUCUAGAAUUUAAAUUUAAAUUUUAAAUUUUANUGUCUUCUUCUGUAACUUGCAGUACUCCAGCUCGUCGAGCACGUCCUCCGCGUUCUCCACAGCAUCUCUGAGCUGCCACAGCCACGUAACCAGCCCCUCGUUCUGCUCUGCAAUCGACGCCGCCUCCUCUACAGCAGUCAAGACUGCCUGGACCUGCGCAGGGGCGCACUGCAGCCUUUCCAGCUCGACCCGCACGUCCUGCAGCGCCGGGUAAGCUUUGAGGUAGGAAAAGCACGUCUUAACGAGGUUAUCGAUGAUCGCCGUCGCCACCGCUCCGGCUAUGAAGGUUAGAGCCAUGAUCGACUUCACCACUACUCAGGCGCGCAAUUGAUGAAAACUCAAUCCUGGAGUGCAGAAAAUUGGAGAAUGAGGAAAGAGAGACGUCGAAACAAUCAGCUGAGUAGAUAGCUAGAUACAAUCGCGCGCAGGCAUCAAAGAAUUAAGAUCCGCGAAGAGUAGUACUUUCUUGUAUUAAUUCUUCUCGGAAGAGGGGAGGAAAUAAAGUAUGGAUGCUUUAUUUGACAACAAAAGCCCCCCACUAAUUAAGUGGGUGUUUCGAUUCCCUAAUUUUUUUUUUUAAAAAAAAUUGAAAACCAGUUUUUUUCGGGGGAAAAAAAUAUAUAUAUAAUUUUUAUUUUUUGAAUAGGGAAGACAAUUUUCCGAUAAAAUUUAGAAACUAAACAAGCUAAAUAAAAUAAUAAUAAUAAAUUCAGCUAGAAGAUUAUUUUCAAAAAUAUUUUCUCCGAAAUCAAAUACUAAAUCAAAAUAUGCCCACUUUAAUUCAGUAGCAAACAAGUUAAGCUUCCGGCAUGUUUGGUUCGUCGGAAGUGUAGUAUCGAAAGCGAUACUUUUAAAAAGUGACGUCUUAUCGGUUGUUUGGUUUACGAAAAUGAGUAUAAAAAUCAUUUUAUGAAAGUGGGCUGAUAAAGUGAGUUAUAGCUAAAUCUCACUUUUUUGACUUCGGCUCAAAAAAUUCGAAAGUUACGAAAAGUGAAGAACUUAGCUAAGAGGGUAUAUUUGGCCUUAACUUUAAUAUUUAAAUUUAUUUUUAAAGUUUAAUUUCAUUUUAAAUUUGAAUUAAAAUUAUGAUCACAUUUUGAAUUUUAUUUGUGAAUUAAAAUUCAACAUAAAAUUUUAAAUUCAAAUUUAUGACUUUAUAUUUAAAUUUAAAUUUUAUUUUUAUUUAAAAUUGAAUUCUAGAAUUUAAAUUUAAAUUUUAAAUUUUAAUCAAAAUAUUUUUAGUUAAGAACUUCAAUUUGAAAUUUGAAUUCAAAUUGUUCCAAGUAUAAACUCAAAUUAUUGACUGAAAUUUAAAUUUAAAAUUUAAAUAUUUAAGUUAAAAUUUAAAUUCAAAUUUAAAUUUGGUAUUUACAUUUAACUUCAAUAAUAAGUUUCAGUCUGAAUUUGAACUCAAAUUAUGAAUUCAAAUGUUCAAUUCGAAUUGUGAUUUAAACUCAUAUUUUUAAUUUAAAUUUAAAUAUUAAUUUAAAUUGUGAAUUCAUAUUUGAAUUCAUAAUUUAAGAUCAAAGAGUGAAUUAAUAUAUGAUUCAAAUUAUAAAUUCAAAUUUGAAUAAAUGUUCUAAUUUUUGUGUUGAACUUUUAUUUUAAAAUUUAAUUUCACUUAUAAGUUAUAACUUAAAUUUUAAAUUCAAAUUGUAAAUUAAAUUUAUGUCUUAAAUUUUAAUUAUAAAUUCAACUUAGAUUUAAUUUAAAUUUAAAAUUUUAAUUUAAAUUACAAGUAUAAGUUGUUUGUUUAUAUUUUUACCUCUUUAUAUAUAAUUUAAUAAUAAAAAAAUAUAAAAUUAUAGUUUUAAUUUUAACCUUAUAGCAACCAAACAAUUGAACUGAAAAGUCACUUUUAUACAAAUUACUUUUCCACUUCGCUGACUUCCGAGUUACCAAACAUGCCCGAAUUUUUGAGACAAGCAGUUGUUUCAAAUUUCUAACAGGCAUAUAGUUAGGACAUACCAAAAAAAAAAAAAUACUGGUGAGGAGUAAUUUCUUGAAUGCUUCUCAAUUAUUCAAAUUUGUCUGCCUUCUAUGACAGCCCGUAGUUAGUUAAUUCGGAUUUGUCAAAAAUUCGGUACGGAUAUAAUUCGGAUAAAAUUCGUCUUUUAAGUUUUAAAUUCGUUGAAAAAUACGGCUAAAAAACGGAUUCGGCAGUUAUUCAGAUACGUGAUUUAUACGGGUAUUAUACGUUCACCAAUUAAAAAUUCGGGAUCAAAUAUAAUUUUUAUAUAUAAUUUUUAAAAAUUCGGUAUUAUACUAUAUAUAUUAUUAUUAUAAUAUUUAAUAAUAGAUUAAAUAUAUUUAAAAUUAUAAUAAACAUAUAUUAAUAAUAUAUAAGAGUUAUAUAUUUAGAAAUAUUAAUAAAUAAUUACAAAUUUAUAAAUAAAUAUUAUAUAAUAAUAUUUCUAUAUAAAAAUAAAAUACUAUAUAUAAUAAAUGAAUAUAUAUAUAUUUAUAAAUAAAUAAAUAAAUAAAUAAAUAAAUAUAUAUAUAUAUAUAGAGAGAGAGAGAGAGAGAGAGAGAGUUGAGCUAGAAUACUAUCGAUAGCAAACCGGCACUUUUGCCACCCAUUUGUUUUCGAUGAUGGAGCCUCCAAAUCGACGAUCGGCACCGUUGAACAUGAUCUAUACCAUUUGAAGUAUUUAGAAAUCAAAUUUCAUACAUUUUCGAUAUUGUUCUCUUAUCCAUCGAGUGGAUACAAAAAUGAACGGCUGAAAAUGAAUAUUCUGAAAAAAUGAUGAUAGGAGUCUUGUAAUCAAGAUCAAGGGUAUAGAUCUUAUUUUAAAUAGUUUAAAAAAUUUUCUAACAAAAAUUCAAUUGAUUUGGAUUUCUUUACGUCGUUAUUGUGAGAUCCCUGGUGUUUUGUUGUGGAGGCUUGUCAGCAGCUCUGGAGAGUGUCGGGACAAGUCCGAGUCGCGUUGGCGUCAAAUAGACGCAAAACGGACUCCGUGCGACGCGAGGGCAGCUUAUCGCGAAGAAUUCUGGAA
rnacentral:lncRNA from 1 species